CAGUCGCCACGGUAAUACGGAGGGAGCUAGCGUUGUUCGGAAUUACUGGGCGUAAAGCGCGCGUAGGCGGUUACUCAAGUCAGAGGUGAAAGCCCGGGGCUCAACCCCGGAACUGCCUUUGAAACUAGGUGACUAGAAUCUUGGAGAGGUCAGUGGAAUUCCGAGUGUAGAGGUGAAAUUCGUAGAUAUUCGCAGGAACACCAGUGGCGAAGGCGGCUAACUGGUCCAUAACUGACGCUGAGGUGCGAAAGCGUGGGGAGCAAACAGGAUUAGAUACCCCCGUAGUCCCUGUCUCUUAUAC
rnacentral:rRNA from 1 species